GGACUCGCGGCCUAUCAGCUAGUUGGUGGGGUAAGUGCUCACCAAGCAGAGGAUGGGUAGCCGGCUUGUGAGGGAGACCGUCCACCCUCGGAGUGAGACACGGCCCAGCCUCAUUCGGGAGGCAGCAGUCGGGAAUAUUUCACAAUCGGUGAAAGCAAGCUGCAGCGACGCCGCGUGAGGGAUGAAGGCCUUCGGGUUGUAAACCUCUUUCAGCAGGCAAGAAGCGAAAGUGACGGUCCCUCCAGAAGAAGCCCCGCCUAAUUACGUCCCACCAGCCGCGGUAAUACGUAGGGUGCAAGCGUUUUCCGGAAUUAUUGGGCGUAAAGAGUUUGUAGGCGGUUUGUAAGUUAAACAGUGAAUAUCCGCGGUUCAACCUGGGGCUUCCUGUGGGUACGGGCAGACUAGAGUACGGUAGGGGAGACCGGAAUUCCUGGUGUAGCGGUGAAAUGCGCAGAUAUCAGGAGGAACACCGAUGGCGAAGGCAGCUCUC
rnacentral:rRNA from 1 species